rnacentral:tRNA from 1 species
UAAGCUAUAAGUUAUAUAAACUUAGGGCCUUCAAAGCCCUCAAAGAGACACCCUCGAGCUUUG